rnacentral:rRNA from 1 species
AGUCGAACGAUACUUUCCAGCUUGCUGGAAAGGAAAGUGGCGCACGGGUGCGUAACGCGUAUGCAACCUACCUUAAUCAGGGGGAUAGCCCGAAGAAAUUCGGAUUAACACCGCAUAAAAUCACAGUACAGCAUUGUACAAUGAUCAAAUAUUUAUAGGAUUAAGAUGGGCAUGCGUGACAUUAGCUAGUUGGCGGGGUAACGGCCCACCAAGGCUACGAUGUCUAGGGGAUCUGAGAGGAUGACCCCCCACACUGGUACUGAGACACGGACCAGACUCCUACGGGAGGCAGCAGUAAGGAAUAUUGGUCAAUGGAGGCAACUCUGAACCAGCCAUGCCGCGUGCAGGAAGACAGCCCUCUGGGUCGUAAACUGCUUUUAUUCGGGAAUAAACCUACUUACGUGUAAGUAGCUGAAUGUACCGAAGGAAUAAGGAUCGGCUAACUCCGUGCCAGCAGCCGCGGUAAUACGGAGGAUCCAAGCGUUAUCCGGAUUUAUUGGGUUUAAAGGGUGCGUAGGCGGCUUUUUAAGUCAGGGGUGAAAGACGGUAGCUCAACUAUCGCAGUGCCCUUGAUACUGAAGAGCUUGAAUGGACUAGAGGUAGGCGGAAUGUGACAAGUAGCGGUGAAAUGCAUAGAUAUGUCACAGAACACCGAUUGCGAAGGCAGCUUACUAUGGUUUUAUUGACGCUGAGGCACGAAAGCGUGGGGAUCAAACAGGAUUAGAUACCCUGGUAGUCCACGCCCUAAACGAUGAAUACUCGCUGUUAGCGAUACACAGUUAGCGGCUAAGCGAAAGCGUUAAGUAUUCCACCUGGGGAGUACGGUCGCAAGAUUGAAACUCAAAGGAAUUGACGGGGGCCCGCACAAGCGGAGGAGCAUGUGGUUUAAUUCGAUGAUACGCGAGGAACCUUACCCGGGCUUGAAAGUUAGUGAAUCAUUUAGAGAUAGAUGAGUCCGCAAGGACACGAAACUAGGUGCUGCAUGGCUGUCGUCAGCUCGUGCCGUGAGGUGUUGGGUUAAGUCCCGCAACGAGCGCAACCCCUAUGUUUAGUUGCCAGCACGUAAUGGUGGGGACUCUAAACAGACUGCCUGUGCAAACAGAGAGGAAGGAGGGGACGACGUCAAGUCAUCAUGGCCCUUACGUCCGGGGCUACACACGUGCUACAAUGGAUGGUACAGAGGGCAGCAAGCUGGUAACAGCAAGCAAAUCUCCAAAAGCCAUUCACAGUUCGGAUAGAGGUCUGCAACUCGACCUCUUGAAGUUGGAUUCGCUAGUAAUCGUAUAUCAGCAAUGAUACGGUGAAUACGUUCCCGGGCCUUGUACACACCGCCCGUCAAGCCAUGGAAGUUGGGGGUACCUAAAGUAUGUAACCGCAAGGAG